rnacentral:rRNA from 1 species
GAUGAACGCUGGCGGCGUGCCUAAUACAUGCAAGUCGAGCGAACAGAUAAGGAGCUUGCUCCUUUGACGUUAGCGGCGGACGGGUGAGUAACACGUGGAUAACCUACCCAUAAGACUGGGAUAACUUCGGGAAACCGGAGCUAAUACCGGAUAACAUAUUGAACCGCAUGGUUCAAUAGUGAAAGGCGGCUUUGCUGUCACUUAUAGAUGGAUCCGCGCCGUAUUAGCUAGUUGGUAAGGUAACGGCUUACCAAGGCAACGAUACGUAGCCGACCUGAGAGGGUGAUCGGCCACACUGGAACUGAGACACGGUCCAGACUCCUACGGGAGGCAGCAGUAGGGAAUCUUCCGCAAUGGGCGAAAGCCUGACGGAGCAACGCCGCGUGAGUGAUGAAGGUCUUCGGAUCGUAAAACUCUGUUAUCAGGGAAGAACAAAUGUGUAAGUAACUGUGCACAUCUUGACGGUACCUGAUCAGAAAGCCACGGCUAACUACGUG